ACUGCUGUUCUGUGCAGCAUAAAAUCAGAUCACGUUUGCUCAUUGCAUGCUGGAAAAUGGCCAAUUAUUGAUUGACUUAUUUAUUAAAACAGCAUGAGUAUGUUUGGCUGCACUGUAAACAGGUACAUCAGUUGUUCCUCUGCUUUAUUUAUAGCCCCUUUCACACAUGCAGUCUAUCUCUUAAAUGUUCAUGAACAUUUCCUGCAUGGGGUCAUGUGUGAAUGGAUGCAGGGAUCAAUAUCCAGGGAAAUCUGUACUGCCGAUUUCCUACCUCAAGACCUAUCGUACGGCUGUGUUGUGAAUGAAAACAGUAACAUUGCAGGGACAAACACGUAAAGGGUUACAUCUGUCUGACGAAAGACACUUUCAUGAGGAGCGAGCGAACCAUCACAUGACUCCGCUGAUGACAUACCUGAAUCUGUGACUUGUUCACGGUUGCCUUGACAAUGUUUUGUUAACUAAAAAGCAAUAUAAGUUACUUUGUUUGCAAAGAAGCUCCUUUUUUCAAGAACGGCUGGAAACUGAACACGUCUGGAGAUUUCUUCCGCCGCCUACACGUACAUCCGGAUUUGCCCCAUCCUUGUCUUCUUCUCGAGUUUUAUGGCGGUUGGCAUCCUCAGAGUCAGAGAGAUGCACCGUUCACAACCUGGAGGGAACACUGUGAGAAGAAAGACGGUGUUGAAGCCAGUGCUCCAUCUGAUAAUGGAGUGGAAUUACAAGGACAGUGAGGACCAAAUGAAGCUACUAUUCACUUUGCAGAUUUCAUGUACAAUGAAUUAAGGCUUAUUUUUAAUUAAGGCUGUAUUAAAGCUUUCACAUAUCACAUUUACGUUACAUUUUAUGUUGGUCUAUUUUGUUAGGGAAUGUAUCUUCUUUUGUCCUCGUGUCUAAGUUCUAGUCCUAUUGAUGUUGAAGAAGAUGAAGCCAUCGAGGAGGCCAUCAGACGUGGUCUUUUAGAGGAGUAUGUGCAAUUGGGAUUCAAGGUUUGCAAAAAAAUUUGAGCAAAGAAGAAAUUGCAGGAAUUUUAAAAGCACACAAUGAGAGGGUUGUCACAACAGCAUACAGAUCGAUCUACAUCAGGCGAGGGAAUGUGUGGACUAUCCUCUGACAGUUUAUUAGACUUAGAUUCGCUGAGAGUACUGAUGUGCUGUACCUCUGCCAGUGACAAAGACACCAAUGAAGAUGCAGAAGACCUUGGAGGACCCAAGCAAGAAUUCUUCCGUCUACUUGUAAACGCUAUCUACACAGAGAGUGGAGCAUUUGAAGGUAGUCUUUUUUUUGCAUAAAUGUUAUGUACUACAUGUUAAAUGUACUACUGUGCUGUGGUGUUAAAAUGCUUUUUCUUAAAUACUGGGUAAGCUGCCCUCUAAAAGUUUGGGUAACAUACAUACACAAGAUUAGAUUUUAAAUUUUGAUUAUGGAAAACUAUGGAUUAUGGAUUAGUAUGUACAGUUGCAGCUUCUGGAUUGUUUAGUAACAAAAGAUGUCUGUCUAGUGUGAAAAGCUGAACUGGGGUUCUGUUGCAUGAUUGUUAAAUGCAGCUUUAAACUCAUCUAAUGUGUGACUGAUCCUGGGGAAUGUACACAUAACGAAGAGAAAAUAAAUCUGAUUAAUUCUCGACAUCAAAGGCCUCCAUUGACGCUUGUAGAAAAUGGGUACAAACACACUACGGGAGUUUCUGUUCAAGUCUUGAUUGAAUCAUUUGAUUUGCUGGUAAUGUACAGAGCUUUCCAGCCAACACAGAAUUUUCACUUUUGUGCACUCUCAUGUCUUCCCAAAUCCGGACAUUCUUCCCUCCAUGAACGGUUCUGAUAUGAAGGGGCUGGCCAACUUCACUGAUGUUCACAGUUUCAGCCCAGUUGUUGUUGGACUGGAGAAAGGUUGACAUUCUACUGUAACCAUCCAUUGCACAAUGUACAACUAAUUUCCAUCUAAUCAGUUUGUUAUUGCCAUCUACGUGCCAUAUAUAGUUUGGACAAGGUACAGUGUAUACUCGUAUUGUCCUCCUGGACUCGACACCAGCACCAUCAACCCUUUUUAGUCUCUGAGAAGACGUCUCUGCACCACAAUGUUUCUGGCACAUAAAUAUAAUACUUUGCCUUUUCACAAUUGUAACCCUGCACCGGGAAAAACUACAGUGACUAGUGCUCUGCGAGGUUUUGUUUUGGUAGUAUAUAAUAAGGUUUCAUGAAUUAAUGAAUAAUUUUAUGAUUUCAUGCUUCAAUGGAUUAGAAAUAUUACGCAGUUAAGAAAUGUGAAAUCAAGACUGGAUUCAAUGUCCACAAAACCUCCAAAGUGACAUCAGUAUGAUUUUAUAAUGACAGUUUUAUUCAUUUUUUCAUUUUAUUACUAUUAUUAUUUUUUAUUUGCCAGUGCAUCACAAUCUUCUAACCAUCUUGAUUGAAUUUAUUCUGUACGCUGCACAACAAAAAUCUUUUUUUUUUAACCUGUCUACCAAGUUGCAACUUGUGUGUUUAUGUUCAGCUGUGUAGUUUUUCCACUGUAAUGAUAUAAUCACCUAAUCCACUCCCUCAAAUGUGCACUUUUAAAUACUUAAAU